UAGGGAAUCUUCCGCAAUGGGCGAAAGCCUGACGGAGCAACGCCGCGUGAGUGAUGAAGGUCUUCGGAUCGUAAAACUCUGUUAUUAGGGAAGAACAAAUGUGUAAGUAACUUUGCACGUCUUGACGGUACCUAAUCAGAAAGCCACGGCUAACUACGUGCCAGCAGCCGCGGUAAUACGUAGGUGGCAAGCGUUAUCCGGAAUUAUUGGGCGUAAAGCGCGCGUAGGCGGUUUUUUAAGUCUGAUGUGAAAGCCCACGGCUCAACCGUGGAGGGUCAUUGGAAACUGGAAAACUUGAGUGCAGAAGAGGAAAGUGGAAUUCCAUGUGUAGCGGUGAAAUGCGCAGAGAUAUGGAGGAACACCAGUGGCGAAGGCGACUUUCUGGUCUGUAACUGACGCUGAUGUGCGAAAGCGUGGGGAUCAAACAGG
rnacentral:rRNA from 1 species